rnacentral:rRNA from 1 species
GAUGAACGCUGGCGGCGUGCCUAAUACAUGCAAGUAGAACGCUGAAGCUUGGUGCUUGCACCGAGCGGAUGAGUUGCGAACGGGUGAGUAACGCGUAGGUAACCUGCCUCUUAGCGGGGGAUAACUAUUGAAAACGAUAGCUAAUACCGCAUAAAAGUUGACAUUGCAUGAUGUUGAUUUGAAAGAUGCAAUUGCAUCACUAAGAGAUGGACCUGCGUUGUAUUAGCUAGUUGGUGAAGUAACGGCUCACCAAGGCGACGAUACAUAGCCGACCUGAGAGGGUGAUCGGCCACACUGGGACUGAGACACGGCCCAGACUCCUACGGGAGGCAGCAGUAGGGAAUCUUCGGCAAUGGGGGCAACCCUGACCGAGCAACGCCGCGUGAGUGAAGAAGGUUUUCGGAUCGUAAAGCUCUGUUGUAAGAGAAGAACGAGUGUGAGAGUGGAAAGUUCACACUGUGACGGUAACUUACCAGAAAGGGACGGCUAACUACGUGCCAGCAGCCGCGGUAAUACGUAGGUCCCGAGCGUUAUCCGGAUUUAUUGGGCGUAAAGCGAGCGCAGGCGGUUAGAUAAGUCUGAAGUUAAAGGCUGUGGCUUAACCAUAGUACGCUUUGGAAACUGUUUAACUUGAGUGCAGAAGGGGAGAGUGGAAUUCCAUGUGUAGCGGUGAAAAUGCGUAGAUAUAUGGAGGAACACCGGUGGCGAAAGCGGCUCUCUGGUCUGUAACUGACGCUGAGGGUUCGAAAGCCUGGGGAGCAAACAGGAUUAUAUACCCUGGUAGUUCUAGGGCGGAAUCCCACGUUGGAUAUCAAGCUUAUCGAUACCGUUGACCUCCGAGGGGGGUCCGGGACUCAAAUAUAUAAAUUAUUUUAAUGAGGGUUAAUUAA